CCGUGCUAGGUGGGGAGGUAGCGGUGCCCUGUACCCGCAAUCCGCUCUAGCGGGACUGAACUCCUACCCGAGGCUGCCUAACUGUAGGGCCUGUCUUACACAAGUGGUGUUGACGUUUGGGUCCUGCGCAAUGGGAAUCCAUGAACCAUGUCAGGUCCGGAAGGAAGCAGCAUUAAGUGGAAUCUCCCAUGUGCCGCAGGGGUGCCUGAACCGAGCUAACUAUGUAAGCAACGCCUAUGGUUAGCAGUCGAAGGUAGGUGCACGG
rnacentral:SRP_RNA from 1 species